GCCUGGCUUACCAGGGCUGUCUUCUUUUUCUUCCACUCAUACGCCAUCUCUCUCUCCCUCCUCCUUCCUCCCGUCACCAGCAAUCCUCUCUGUCCCUCAAUUUCAUGUCUUCCUUUUAGGGUUUCUUUUUCGGACGUGCAGGUAUACACCGACGACGGUGCCAGUCCAGGUUCUCAGGUUUGUAUAAGAACUUGUUAUUUCUUAUACACUACCGCCAUAAUAUGGGUUCUUCUGUGGAUUUCAUCUAUUGGCUUGAUCCUGACAUGUCGCACAAGAUUCUCAUGUGUCUGGAUGAUCCGUCUGACCUUGUCCGAGUUAGUUGUGUCUCGCGGUCUUGGCGACACUAUGUGAUUAGAAAUGGUCUUUGCAAACAGCUAUGCUUGAGAAUGUUUCCUCAAUUAUCUAGAGCCUCAUAUGUCGUUGAACUGAAUAAAAAUGGAGCAAAGGAACCUGAAGUUGGAUCUAGCUAUUCUAUGGAAUGGCAAGCUCUGGAAAAGGACCAUAGAGUCUAUGCUUAUUUAGCUAGAGCCUGCACAUCAUUUGCUAUUGUGGAUUGCAUUGGAGAGACAAUUGGUGCUUCCAGCACUGAUAAUUUUCCAGAGGAAAGCAUUGAUAAUACAUUAGAGGCAAGGGACAAUAUCGGUGGGAGAGCUUCGUACUGGUCCAGUAAAGGGCAAAAAAAUCCUGAUGUACCUGAGACACUAACAUACAAGCUGGACUGCUCAAUUUGUGUUGUUACGGAAAUUAGUGUUCAUCCUUUCCAAGCUUUUUUUCAGCCAGGGCUUCCUAUAUACUCAGCAAAAUCUGUUCGAAUCAAAAUGGGUCAUCCUAAUCCUUCUUUAGAUGUUUCUGCUGAUGAAAAGUAUGUAUGGACUUACAUUUCUCCGGAGUUUCCAAUGGCUCAGGAAAACCAGUUACAGAAGUUCAAGCUUCCAGAACCAGUGCUUUGUAUUGGUGGUAUCUUGCAGAUUGAGCUUUUGGGAAGGAUUCAGAGACAAGAAAUGGACAACUUAUUCUACAUUUGUGUCUCUCAUGUUAAAGUUGUGGGCCGCCCAUUGUCACCUGCAUUUACUGUUGAAAUUCGCGAACCAUCUUCUGGGGCAUUUGUGCUCAAGUGUGAUCAGCUUGCUAAGUGUCCCGCUCAACCAGCUUUUUCUAUUGAGUCUCGUGCAAUAUCCCCUGACGACUAUAUUCAGAGGCGACUUAGAGAUGUUCGACAGAUUGUGACAAUGUUGCGGGAAAAUGUAGUAGAGGUUGUCGAAGAAGAUGAUUGGGAUGAGGAUGAUGAAGUUGAAGACUUUGAAGAAGCAUAUGCCCUUUGAUCUUUUGUUAUGCCUACUAAGUGCUUUUGUAAUUCCCUCCCAAAACAAUAAAGAAAAGGAGAACAUGGUGAUGGUAUCUCUCCAGAACAAUCUGUCUAAUUAUCAAUGGGGGUCAAAAACGUAUUUUGCAUUUCGCAGAUGGAGACCAAAAUUACUUGGGACUUUCUCAGUUAGGUAAAAAUGAAUUUAAAGAAAACGUCCAAAUUAGCUGUGACCCAUACUAUAACACAAUGCACUGAUUAUAUAAUAUAUCCAUAUUUCUUUCAUAAGCUUAAUGCCCGUUUGGUGUCAAGGAGGAUACGGAUAUUUUUAACUCCAAAAUUGCUGUUUUAGCUUUUA